AGCGAACGCUGGCGGCAGGCUUAACACGUGCAAGUCGAGCGGGCAUCUUCGGAUGUCAGCGGCAGACGGGUGAGUAACACGUGGGAACGUACCCUUCGGUUCGGAACAACUCUGGGAAACUGGAGCUAAUACCGGAUACGCCCUUAUGGGGAAAGGUUUACUGCCGAAGGAUCGGCCCGCGUCUGAUUAGCUAGUUGGUGGGGUAACGGCCUACCAAGGCGACGAUCAGUAGCUGGUCUGAGAGGAUGAUCAGCCACGCUGGGACUGAGACACGGCCCAGACUCCUACGGGAGGCAGCAGUGGGGAAUAUUGGACAAUGGGCGCAAGCCUGAUCCAGCCAUGCCGCGUGAGUGAUGAAGGCCUUAGGGUUGUAAAGCUCUUUUGUCCGGGACGAUAAUGACGGUACCGGAAGAAUAAGCCCCGGCUAACUUCGUG
rnacentral:rRNA from 1 species